CAGUGCUUCAAAGACAAAGCACUAUGUCUACGGUGAGUGACGGUCCUUUCUCUGUGACCACUGCCGCUGUGACUGGAGUCUUGAUUUGCAGGUAUAGCUGGUCGCUUCUGUGGAAAACAAAGAUGGACUUCCUAUAGGACUGAUGCUGUGUGAACUCUGUCCAGAGCACCUGGUUUGGAGAUCUAUACUCUAAGAUGAUGACAGGAUGCAAACCUGGAGACUUCGAAGAUCUACAAAAGAGAAAAAUUCACCAAAAUGUAUAGAUAUGGAAGAAAUCUGGAUGGAUUUAUUUCUUGAGACACAGUCUCAAUGUUUUAGCCAUGGCUGGCCUUGAACUGAAGGAUCCACCCAUCUCUGCCUCUGCCUUGAGUACUGAGAUCUAAGGUGUGAGGCACCAACCAUUACAGUCAUGGGGUAGAGAUUUACCAUUGAUUUCUUAACCUCAACAUGGCAAACGACAUCAACAUUUAGUGCUAACGUUUGAAUAGCCAAUCAGAGAGGCCCUGUGUGGCUCAUUAGCACUGGUGCUCACAAAAUUUUCUGUGUAGCCCUGGCUGUCCUGGAACUCUCUUUGUAGACCAGGCUGGCCUUGCAUUCACAGAGCUCCUCCUGCCUCUGCCUCCUGAGUACUGGGAUUAAAGGAGUAUGCCCCCACCGCCUGGCUAAAAGACUAGUAUUUUAAGUUGGUCAAUAUUUUAAGCUUUGCAGAAGUGCCAGGGUCACAGUGAAGUAGAGCUGUCAAACCUGGUGCCAUAAAGGAGGGAAUAUAUCUUUUCUUUAUCCUUCUAAGACCCAUGGCUUAGGUUCCACUAACAAAGAACAAAUUAAUAAUAAUAAUAAAACCCAUGAAAUUAGUUGAUAUAAAUUAUAUUUGACAAGAGAGGCUUUGUAAGGAAAACAAAGUGCUGUCCCCCCUUGUAAAACAGCUAAAGCAACCGUUAGGCUUUGAGCCCUGUCACAGGACAAGGAAUGUUUGGUGAUGAAGACUAUGAUGGAGUAAAGACAGUGACAGACAGUGACCUGAUGGAAACAAUCUGGGAAGCUCAGCCAGGCCUCUUUGUCCUAAUUCUUGGAGUCCUUGUCUUUGGAGAGAAGGCUAUUCCUUCUUCCUUGUUGGAGAGCCCUCAUAUCUCACUUCAGCUUUAAGAUCUCCUUUGGGUGAGAAGGGCCUGGGGAAGGUCAGAGCAACCCUCUAUCUUCUCUUUUUCUCAUUUUCUUUUAGGUUAAAUAUUCAAUACGCUAAGGUAUCACAACUGAGGGUGCCAUGCUCUGAAUCUCAUCAAGAAACAAAGACAAAAAACAACCAAAGCAACCAACAAUAUUAUACCUAUCUUUUUUUUUUUUUAACAAUUUUCUGACACUCAUUCACAGUCUUUCCUUUUGAUUUUAAAGUAUAUAGAUGGUACCCAAUGUCCAGGACGUGGCUUCUGGUGUAAGCGAUUUGUAUUGUUUUUUGUUUUGGGGUUGGUUGACAGUCAGCAACACCUAGUGAUCCUCCUGUCUCUGCCCUUAGAGCAGUGGGCUUACAGGUGUGAGUGAGACCAUUUACAGCUUGUUCAUGCAUGUCCUGGGAGGGAUUUUCUUAUUUUUAUAAGCUACACAAAAUAUUAAUGUUUUAUUAUAAAAUAGGUCUUAUGUAAGUAAUUAGGGCAAAUCUAAUAAAGUUAGCCUUUUUGUGUGA